rnacentral:rRNA from 1 species
UAUACCAUGCAGUCGAGCGGAAGGCCCUUCGGGGUACUCGAGCGGCGAACGGGUGAGUAACACGUGAGCAACCUGCCCUAGGCUUUGGGAUAACCCUCGGAAACGGGGGCUAAUACCGAAUAUGACCUCGCAUCGCAUGGUGUGUGGUGGAAAGUUUUUCGGUCUGGGAUGGGCUGACGGCCUGUCCUCUUGUUGGGGGGGUGAGGUGUGCCUCACCGAGGCACCGAACGCUGGCCGAGAAGAAGGGUGACCGCCCCUUCGGGAUUGAAGCGGGUCCUACCUCCUACGGGAGGCAGUGGUGAGGAAUAUUUGACGUGUGGGGCAUGAAUGAUGUAC